rfam:Ictidomys tridecemlineatus contig046851, whole genome shotgun sequence.
GGGGUUGUAGCUCAGUGGUAGAGCACUUGCCUGGCAUGUAUGGAGCACUGGGUUCAAUCCUCAGCACCA